ACAAGCGGUGGAGCAUGUGGUUUAAUUCGAUGAUACGCGAAGAACCUUACCGGGUUGACAUGCAGGUGAUCGCCGUUGAAAGACGGUUUCCUCUUCGGAGGCACCUGCACAGGUGCUGCAUGGCUGUCGUCAGCUCGUGCCGUGAGAUGUCCGGUUAAGUCCGGUAACGAGCGCAACCCUUGCUGUAUGUUACAAGUGUCAUACGGGACUGCCGGUAUCAAGCCGGAGGAAGGUGGGAUGACGUCAGGUCAGCAUGGCCUUUAUAUCCGGGGCUACACACACGCUACAAUGGUCAGUACAAUAGGUUGCAAAGCCGCGAGGUGGAGCCAAUCCCAAAAGCUGGCCUCAGUUCAGAUUGCAGGCUGCAACCCGCCUGCAUGAAGUUGGAGUUGCUAGUAACCGCGCGUCAGCCAUAGUGCGGUGAAUACGUUCCCGGGCCUU
rnacentral:rRNA from 1 species